rnacentral:sRNA from 1 species
UUUUUUUCUUCCUUUCCCACAAAU